rnacentral:misc_RNA from 1 species
UUUCAGCCGAGGAAGACAUGCUUUGUAGCAAUACUGAUAAUGCUUAUGUGGCCCGAGACAAUGUAAAUAAGGAACCAUCACUCAGAAGUGUUCUUUCAGAUCCCUUAUCUGGCGCAUUCCUUGAAGAUGCUAUGUUUGUUUCAUGUGGACAUUCCUUUGGUGGUCUCAUGCUGAAAAGGGUUAUUGAUAUGGCAAGAUGUAUCCUCUGCAAUGCUGAAAUUGAGCGUGGUUCCUUAAUUCCUAACCACGUACUGAGAACUGCGGCUGCAGCAGUGAAGCAUGAGGAUGACCGAAGACUUUUCCAUAAUGCAGCUCUUAGAAAGCGUCGAAAAGAAGUGGGAGACAUUAGGGAGAAUGGUGAGCUUCCUUCUGAAACUGGACCGCAUAAAGGUGUUCAGUAUCCAUUCUCAGUGAAUGAGAAAGUUCUUAUAAAGGGAAAUCGGAGGACACCAGAUAAAUUUGUUGGAAAGGAAGCUGUAAUCACAUCACAGUGUCUUAAUGGCUGGUAUUUGCUUAAGAUUAUGGACAGCGGUGAGAAUGUUCGAUUGCAGUACCGCUCUCUGCGUAAGUUCCUUCCUACACAGGAAACAGAGGAGAGAUGCCAGUCACAGACAGUUCAGAACAGUAGCUGAUUCUCAUUAGAUGAUUUACAACCAAUUUCCAUGUGGAUUAUGUUGAGCUCCCUCUAUACUCAAAAGUUUAAAGAUGCAACUUUUUUUCUUGUAGCUUACAUUGUUUUUACUUAGAGGAUGGGGGUUUAGAGCUUAUCAAAAUCCUUAAGAGUUUGCUUGUAUAGGAUUGUAAGUGAG